rnacentral:rRNA from 1 species
CUCAUAGCGUAUAUUUAAGUUGUUGCAGUUAAAAAGCUCGUAGUCGGAUUUUGGCUGAGAACGGUCGGUCCGCCGUUAGGUGUGCACUGACAGGUCUCAGCUUCCUGGUGAGGAGGUGUGCUUCAUCGCCACUUAGUCACCGUGGUUACUUUGAAAAAAUUAGAGUGUUCAAAGCGGGCUUACGCUUGAAUAUAUUAGCAUGGAAUAACACCAUAGGACUCCUGUCCUAUUUCGUUGGUCUCGGGACGGGAGUAAUGAUUAAGAGGAACAGUUGGGGGCAUUCGUAUUUCAUUGUCAGAGGUGAAAUUCUUGGAUUUAUGAAAGACGAACUUCUGCGAAAGCAUUUGCCAAGGAUGUUUUCAUUGAUCAAGAACGAAAGUUGGGGGCUCGAAGAUGAUUAGAUACCAUCCUAGUCUCAACCAUAAACGAUGCCGACUAGGGAUUGGCGGAUGUUAAUUGAUGACUUCGCCAGCACCUUAUGGGAAAUCAAAGUUUUUGGGUUCCGGGGGGAGUAUGGUCGCAAGGCUGAAACUUAAAGGAAUUGACGGAAGGGCACCACCAGGCGUGGAGCCUGCGGCUUAAUUUGACUCAACACGGGGAAACUUACCAGGUCCAGACAUAGUAAGGAUUGACAGAUUGAGAGCUCUUUCUUGAUUCUAUGGGUGGUGGUGCAUGGCCGU